GCCGGCGGUGUCGUUUGCGCGCAGUGGGAGCCAUUCGGGAACGGGAGCGGGCCUCUCUCGCCUAGGCUUUUCUGGUCUACCAGCGAAAGGCACCAAAUACCGUCAGGAUAUACUGAGAAUUAUCCAAGUGUUAAACAUUAGUGAGGCCUGUCAGACUGAAGUGAUUUACCACAGUCUGAGUUCGAGGAGCCUUUGGACACGGUAGGAGUGACUCUUCGAGAUGCCCUGCACAGGACACACAGUUGGGCUGGAUCAUCCUGAUGGGUCCCCUCCAUCUCGGCAUAUUCUGUGAUUACCAGAAUUUCAGGCAGGCAUCAACAAACCCUGCAAGGGAAAGAUGAUCAGGAAACAAGGCAGAAAGAAGUGAGAUUAACCUACCUGUGUUUCCACGAACACCAUUGUUAGAGCCCCAAGGUAAUGGAAAUUGCUGCACUGCCCAGUCCCUUCCAUGGCGAGAGCGAUGGACUGAUCCCAGUUCACCUCCAAUUCUAUUAACUGUGAAGAGCUACGACAGUUCAUUUUGAAGAUCCGAGAGUAAAAUAUUGCAAUAAAUCAGUAAAUGUGUUAUUGCAAUUUCCUGCCUGUAUAAGAAAUGUCUUUCCAUUAAAAAAUCUAAUAGUGA